GAGUGGCGAAAGGGCGAGUAAUGCAUUUCUAACGUACCCCAAGGUCAGGGAUAGGUCGGAGAAAUCCGGCAUAAUACCUGAUGACCCGGUAGUGUCGUAUGGCACAGCCGGCAAAGGUUUACUGCCUUGGGAGCGGGGAAUGUCCUAUCAGCUUGUUGGUGAGGUAAUGGCUCACCAAGGCGAAGACGGGUAGCGGGCGUGAGAGCGCGGCCCGCCGCAUCGGGACUGAGACACUGCCCGGACUCACUACGGGAGGCUGCAGUAACGAAUAUUCCACAAUGCGCGAAAGCGUGAUGGAGCAAUGCCGCGUGUAGGAUGAAGCCCCUCGGGGUGUAAACUACUGUCAGGAGCUACCAACACAAUGAGGAGCUCCAGAGGAAGGAUCGGCUAACUCUGUGCCAGCAGCCGCGGUAAUACAGAGGAUCCGAGCGUUACGCGGAAUCACUGGGCUUAAAGCGUGCGUAGGCGGAUAGGCAAGUGCCUUGUGAAAUCCCCGGGCUUAACCCGGGAAUUGCUCGGUAGACUGCCUAUCUUGAGGUCGGUAGAGGCGGUCGGAACGGUAGGUGGAGCGGUGAAAUGCGUAGAUAUCUACCGGAACGCCGAAGGUGAAGACAGGCCGCUGGGCCGAACCUGUCGCUGAGGCACGAAAGCGUGGGUAGCGAACAGGAUUAGAUACCCUGGUAGUCCACGCCGUAAACGAUGCGUACUAGAUCGAGGAGGUUUUGACGCCAUCUCGGUCGAAGCUAAAGUGUUAAGUACGCCGCCUGGGGAGUACGGUCGCAAGGCUAAAACUCAAAGGAAUUGACGGGGGCUCACACAAGCGGUGGAGCAUGUGGCUUAAUUCGAAGCAACGCGAAGAACCUUAUCCAGGGUUUGACAUGUAUGGAUUAACUCGAUGAAAGUCGAGCCACGCUCUUUGAGUGGAACAUACACAGGUGCUGCAUGGCUGUCGUCAGCUCGUGCUGUGAAGUGUCGCGUUAAGUCGCUUAACGAGCGAAACCCCUAUCGUUAGUUGCCAUCAGGUUAUGCUGGGGACUCUAACGAGACUGCCGGUGUCAAACCGGAGGAAGGUGGGGAUGACGUCAAGUCCUCAUGGCCUUUAUGCCCUGGGCUGCACACGUGCUACAAUGGCGCGCACAGAGCGGAGCAAUAUCGCGAGAUGGAGCAAAUCGCAAAAAACGCGCCCCAGUUCGGAUUGUAGUCUGCAACUCGACUACAUGAAGUCGGAAUCGCUAGUAAUCGCGUAUCAUCAAUGACGCGGUGAUACGUUCCUGAGCCUUGUACACACC
rnacentral:rRNA from 1 species